CCCUAGCAGGUAAAACACACUUAAUACUUACUUGUUGGGUGGAAGAUAAAAGUUAAACUGCAGUUCCUCAAUGGGAAGAUGGAAAUCAUAAUACCCUCCCUCCACAUGUAACGGCCUCUGCAGAGAGUGGAUCCUAGCAAGUGCUUGUACUCCCAGGCCUGCUCAUGCAGGUCUAACAGUAAGGAUGUCCGUGGUAUGUGUGGAGUCCCAAGAAUGUUCUUUCUCCAAUAUUCUUGUCUUUUCUGCCCAGUCCGGAUCUAGGUCUCCCUCUCAACUCAGCCUACCGAGGGACCAGAGCACCCUCUAGGACCCUCACCUUGUCCAAGUAAGGGGACCACCCACCACGGGAAGCUGCCAAGGCUGAGGCCUGGGAAGGGAUUGGAUAGCUACCCCACCCCCAAACCAUCCCUACUCUGGAGCUUGAUGAGAGCCAGCAUCAGCAUUGACCAGGAAGGGUCAGGAGCCCCAGAUCAAGACAGGGUGGCCUAGUGACCAGGACCAGUGUGAGCACACAGAGGAUUCUUGCAUAGGUUGGACAGCCUGGAGGCAGGGGCUGAACAAGAUGACCUCAAGUGGGCCUGGCCAGUGUCCUGGAAUCUUGGAUUCUGUGAUUCACAAAGAUAUGGUUACAUUGGAGAAAUACACAGAGGCUGGCGGCAGAGUUUAGAAGGCAUGCAUUUGUUACAUAGCAAGACCCUGUCUCAAAACUAAACAAGAAAAAUUAAAAAUAGAAAUCCUGCAUUG
rnacentral:lncRNA from 1 species